rnacentral:rRNA from 1 species
UACGAAGGGGGCUAGCGUUGUUCGGAAUUACUGGGCGUAAAGGGUGCGUAGGUGGCGCCGUAAGUCAGGUGUGAAAUCUCGGGGCUCAACCCCGAAACUGCACUUGAUACUGCGGUGCUCGAGUACUGGAGAGGAGAUUGGAAUUUACGGUGUAGCAGUGAAAUGCGUAGAUAUCGUAAGGAAGACCAGUGGCGAAGGCGAAUCUCUGGACAGUUACUGACACUGAGGCACGAAGGCCAGGGGAGCAAACGGG